ACCCGCUGAACUUAAGCAUAUCAAUAAGCGGAGGAAAAGAAACCAACAGGGAUUGCCCUAGUAACGGCGAGUGAAGCGGCAACAGCUCAAAUUUGAAAUCUGGCUUCGGCCCGAGUUGUAAUUUGUAGAGGAUGCUUUUGGUGCGGUGCCUUCUGAGUUCCCUGGAACGGGACGCCAUAGAGGGUGAGAGCCCCGUAUAGUUGGACACCUAGCCUUUGUAAAGCUCCUUCGACGAGUCGAGUAGUUUGGGAAUGCUGCUCAAAAUGGGAGGUAAAUGCCUUCUAAAGCUAAAUACUGGCCAGAGACCGAUAGCGCACAAGUAGAGUGAUCGAAAGAUGAAAAGCACUUUGAAAAGAGGGUUAAACAGCACGUGAAAUUGUUGAAAGGGAAGCGCUUGUGACCAGACUUGCGCCAGGUGGAUCAUCCAGCGUUCUCGCUGGUGCACUCUGCCUGGUUCAGGCCAGCAUCGGUUUUCUCAGUGGGAUAAAGGCUCUGGGAAUGUAGCUCCUUCGGGAGUGUUAUAGCCCGUUGCACAAUACCUCUGAGGGGACCGAGGUUCGCGCUCUGCAAGGAUGCUGGCGUAAUGGUCAUCAGCGGCCCGUCUUGAAACACGGACCAAGGAGUCAAGCAUUAGGGCGAGUGUUUGGGUGCAAAACCCGCACGCGUAAUGAAAGUGAACGUAGGUGAGAGCUUCGGCGCAUCAUCGACCGAUCCUGAUGUAUUCGGAUGGAUUUGAGUAAGAGCCUUACCGCUUGGACCCGAAAGAUGGUGAACUAUGCUUGUAUAGGGUGAAGCCAGAGGAAACUCUGGUGGAGGCUCGCAGCGGUUCUGACGUGCAAAUCGAUCGUCAAAUAUGAGCAUGGGGGCGAAAGACUAAUCGACUUGCCAAUAACG
rnacentral:rRNA from 1 species